rnacentral:rRNA from 1 species
CCCUUAGAUGUUCUGGGCCGCACGCGCGCUACACUGAUGCAUUCAACGAGCACCCGCUGGGCCGAGAGGUCCGGCUAAUCUUUGAACGUGCAUCGUGCUAGGGAUUGAGGUUUGCAAUUAUCCUUCAUGAACGAGGAAUUCCCAGUAAGUGCAAGUCAUAAGCUUGCGCUGACUACGUCCCUGCCCUUUGUACACACCGCCCGUCGCUACUACCGAUUGAAUGAUUUAGUGAGGACUUCGGACUGGGACCGAUGCGGCUUUCGGGCUGCGUCGGUAUUCUGGAAAGAUGUCCAAACUGUAUCAUUUAGAGGAAGUAAAAGUCGUAACA